GCUUCAGCAAAGAAAGCUCCUGAACAAUGGCUUUUUAAAUGGAAGAAGUUGCAUACAGAAGCUUAGAGGAUGAGUUGACCUUGUACAAACUUAGCCAACCUCAGCAAUCUCCUGCCAGAUGUGUGCUUCAUUAUUUAAGUGAUACCACACUGUCAGACUCCUCCUGAAAUGAAGUGGACAUGCCAAUGCAGCGUCUGGCCCUCAGAUCCUCAGUUCCUAGUGGGCAAUACAAAAGGCACAGCAGGGUCUGGGGAUGCACAAAGCAGCAGAAGUCAGCACAGGCACUGUGGAGAGCAGCCUGCUCCGGGAAGGGGAUGAGCAGGAAUCGCUCAGCUGAAUCAGUGCAAGCCACACCAUGAGUGCAUUUCAUAAGCACGUUUACAAAGCAUACUGGGACUCUUGCAGGGAGCAUGGGGGACUUGGGGCAAUAUUUUUCACCUAACUUGAUGUUUUCUGGGGAG
rnacentral:lncRNA from 1 species